UACAGAGGGGGCAAGCGUUAUUCGGAAUUAUUGGGCGUAAAGGGCGCGUAGGCGGCUUGGCAAGUGGAUGGUGAAAUCCCUCGGCUUAACCGAGGAACUGCCGUCCAAACUGCUUUGCUUGAGACCGGGAGAGGUGAGUGGAAUUUCCAGUGUAGCGGUGAAAUGCGCAGAUAUCAGGAAGAACACCCGUGGCGAAGGCGGCUCUCUGGGACGGUACUGACGCUGAGACGCGAAAGCGUGGGGAGCGAACAGG
rnacentral:rRNA from 1 species